rnacentral:rRNA from 1 species
UACAGGGGGUGCAAACGUUGCUCUGAAUUAUUGGGCGUAAAGAGCUCGUAGGCGGCUUGUCACGUCGGAUGUGAAAGCCCGGGGCUUAACCCCGGGUCUGCAUUCGAUACGGGCUAGCUAGAGUGUGGUAGGGGAGAUCGGAAUUCCUGGUGUAGCGGUGAAAUGCGCAGAUAUCAGGAGGAACACCGGUGGCGAAGGCGGAUCUCUGGGCCAUUACUGACGCUGAGGAGCGAAAGCGUGGGGAGCGAACAGG